rnacentral:rRNA from 1 species
GCAACUCGCCUGCGUGAAGUUGGAAUUGCUAGUAAUCGCGGAUCAGCAUGCCGCGGUGAAUACGUUCCCGGGCCUUGUACACACCGCCCGUCACACCAUGGGAGUCUGUAACACCCAAAGCCGGUGGGAUAACCUUUAUAGGAGUCAGCCGUCUAAGGUAGGACAGAUGAUUAGGGUGAAGUCGUAACAAGGUACC